AAGACAAUGAUGAAUCAAAAAUUCUAGAGGAAGUCUUUUUUUUGAUAUCACAUCAAAGUGAAGAUACAGAAUGCAAACUAGAAGAUAUUUAUCAGCCACACACUUGACAAAAGAUUGAUCUUCAGAAUAUACUUUGAGAUCUCUUAGAAAUCAACCGAGAAGAAUCAAACAGCGCAGUAGAAAAAAUUGCUGGAUGAUAAACAGGAAUUUCAUAGCAAGAACUCUGAUUGAUGGUCAACAGACACACACAGAUAUGCCCAACAUCCCCCAGAAUCAGGGAAGUGCUGAAUGAAACUACAAGAUUGCAUCUUAUGCUCGUGUGAUGGUCAAAGCCUCGGAGGCCGGGCACAAGCAUCUCGGAGAGCGACUGAGACUGAAAAGCUCUCACAUGCCUUGCUGGUGAGACAAUGAAGUGACACGGCCAAUUAGAAGUGUAGAAUGGUGUCCAUGUGUGAAGUUGUAGAUCCAGAGCUCAGUGGUUCCAAUCAACGUCCGCUGGACAGAACAUCACAGCAGCACUGUCCACAAGUAGCAAACACCCAGGAACAGCACGAACGCUCACAGAGAGGAGAAUGUAUUCACAGAUCGUGGCCCAUCUGUACAGGGGUGUGUGAUGUAGCAGAGCAAAUGCAGGCACAGCAGUGCAUUCAACAUGGAUAAAUUUCCGUACAAAUAGGAAAAAGCCAAGUCUCAGAGGCCUGUAAAUGGCCUGAUAGUCUUUUUAUAGAAUUCAGAAUCAAGGAAUCUGGAAAGUAUGUUGUCACUCACACACACACACACACACACACACACACACACACACACACACAUUUGCAAUGGACAUCAAGGAAACACCAAGCACACAAUGCUGGUGGCAGGGGUGGGGAGAGGGGUGUGGUGGAGAAAGUGCUUGUUGGUGGAUGUGAGUCCUGGUGUAGUCUCGUUCUUGGGUUGGGUAAAUAGUGGCGCCUUAUGUUAUUAAAUAAACAGGGUCAUGCAUCCAUCAUAGCCUAUUGUGAAACAAAGAUUAUGGAGAACUCAAUUCUACGUUACUAAAUCAUCUUCAAAAACUGAAAGCUGUACUAGGUUACAUAGUUCUGGGCCUGGAAGAUUUAUUCUUCCCUCCUAGAUCUGAGGCUUCUGCUGCAAGUAUGCUCUGCCAUGAUUCUUGGUCAGGCCAAAAGGCAUUUGAACUUGAUUCCCUUCUUCAUAUUUAUUGGAGCCAGAGGCACCACAGCUGGUAUCACUCAAACCAGAUUUCAGCUGAGACAGAAAACAUAAACCAGAACCUUGGAACUGGGUCCCGAUGAUCCAUCCAAAUGCUACUCAGUAAAUGGAUUACAGAAAACUGGAGAAAGAAGUCCAGAUUUCUGAAUAGUAUGUUUACUUUGAAGCUAAUUAGACUGAGGACCUCCUAGAAGACUUCCACCGCUAUGGAUUCAUUAAAUAUGAACUUAUCGGUAUUUUUGCUUAACCAGGUGACAUUACUCCUCCAGGGCAUGGGAUUGUGCAGGGGUGUAUGCUGGAGUUUACUCUGAUGAAUUUGUAUCUGAAUCUUGACAGAAGAGAAUUACAUUACGGAAUGUGACUGAGAAAUGGGGAUUCUUUUGGCUUGGUAUUUUGUAAUCCCUAAUAAACUAUUCUUUUCUCA